rnacentral:rRNA from 1 species
UGGGGAAUUUUGGACAAUGGGCGAAAGCCUGAUCCAGCAAUGCCGCGUGUGUGAAGAAGGCCUUCGGGUUGUAAAGCACUUUUGUCCGGAAAGAAAUCCUUGGCUCUAAUACAGUCGGGGGAUGACGGUACCGGAAGAAUAAGCACCGGCUAACUACGUGCCAGCAGCCGCGGUAAUACGUAGGGUGCAAGCGUUAAUCGGAAUUACUGGGCGUAAAGCGUGCGCAGGCGGUUUGCUAAGACCGAUGUGAAAUCCCCGGGCUCAACCUGGGAACUGCAUUGGUGACUGGCAGGCUAGAGUAUGGCAGAGGGGGGUAGAAUUCCACGUGUAGCAGUGAAAUGCGUAGAGAUGUGGAGGAAUACCGAUGGCGAAGGCAGCCCCCUGGGCCAAUACUGACGCUCAUGCACGAAAGCAUGGGGAGCAAACAGGAUUAGAUACCCUGGUAGUCCACGCCCUAAACGAUGUCAACUAGUUGUUGGGGAUUCAUUUCCUUAGUAACGUAGCUAACGCGUGAAGUUGACCGCCUGGGGAGUACGGUCGCAAGAUUAAAACUCAAAGGAAUUGACGGGGUCAUAGCUGUUUCCU